rnacentral:misc_RNA from 1 species
GAUGAAGAACGUAGCGAAAUGCGAUAAGUAAUGUGAAUUGCAGAAUUCAGUGAAUCAUCGAAUCUUUGAACGCACCUUGCACCCUUUGGCAUUCCGAAGGGUAUGCUCGUUUGAGUGUCAUUGUACUCUCACACUUCCAAUCUUUGGAUUGGGAGCAGUGGACUUGGGUGUUGCUGCUUACUGUGGCUCACCUCAAAUCGAUUCGUGCACCUCUUGGUUGGACAUAGUACGGCGUGAUAAGUGUCUUCGCCGGCACCUCAGUAGAGGGUGGCUGAUCAGGGGCUCUGUGCUUCAAACCGUCCUCGGACAACAACUGACAACUUGACCUCAAAUCGAGUAGGACUACCCGCUGAACUUAAGCAUAUCAAUAAGCGGAGGA